CUUCUAAUGAUGAUACUUUUUGUCCAGUUCUGCUACUGAAGGGAGAGCGAUGACAUACUGUGAUGCUGAGGAAG